UAGGGGAAGAAUUCCUCAUAACUCAAAUAAGGGAUUAAAGUACACUACGAAUGUAUACAUUCAUUUUUAAUUAGGUAAAUGUUGCUCUGAAUCCUUGGAUCAAGAGCCAUUGCUAAACAAAACGAAAAUUGCUAGGUUGGCGGGAAGCAGCAGCCAAUUAAAGCCACGAUUUAACCUAUGACGUCACAGACUCGACAGCCAAGACCCAGUAGCCAAUCAAGAGUUGUGACGUCACUGUUGAGGAUGUAUACAUCAUGGUUGAUAAGCCAAUGAAAGUGCUCAUAGGCUCAUACGUCACAGUCUGGUGGUGGUGCAUAAGUCCCCGCCUCAGUCAUGCGUAGGAGAGGUUGAUGUGAGAGUGCUCGCUCCUCUGGGGGAGAUUGCUCCAAAUCCUUGGAUCAAGAGCCCAUCACCUGCCAGGUGUAUGCAUGUCACCGCUCCGGCCACAGCCAAUGAAAACGAGAGUUACUAAGUUGGCGGAAAACAGAAGCCAAUUACAGCCUAGAUUAGCCUAUGACGUCACGGGUUCGAGCGCCAAAACCCAGCAGCCAAUCAGCAGUCGUGAUGUCACUUGACAAGCCAAUCAAAGCGCACAGAGACUACUACGUCACAGUGGUGGUGGUAAGUCAUGCGCGGGAGAUGGCGUGAGGGCGCGCGCUCCUCUGGUAAGCAUUUUUCCCAUAUUUCUCCUAAAUUACUUGUCAUUUACAUUGUUUUUACAUGGUAAUAUAAAGUGUGUGUAUAUCUGAAAUAGUAAUACUGCAAAAUAUGGUAAGUAACUUUUAAUGUCACCACUUAAGUGGCUGUAAAUUGUCAUGUACCACUUGCAUAAGUUGUCACUAGCACUAAAUGGUAAAUUGUUUACAAAUUGUAAGUGGUGGGUAGUAACGUAUGUCGUUUUACCACUUUGUCGUUUAUGGUUGUAACUUGCCACUUCACUAAUGUCACUUAUAAGUGGUCGUUUAUGGUCUUGUAAUUUGUCACCACCAAUUAAGUGGCAAUUUAGUAUGGCAUCACAAUACCACUUGUAUGUGGUCAAUUAUAAUUGUACCUUUUACACUUUAUCACUUACGUAAGUGGUCGUUAGUUUAUAUAUUCUGUAAGUGGCAUUUAAUAUCACCUUUACGGGCAGGAUCUUGAUCCAAGGAAUCUGAGCCACUAUUUCCAGUAGUGACUUCCAUUCCCCAGGCACUGUAUGACCCCCCCCCGGGUUUAGCGCUUUACCGUAAAUGCCACGGCACAGCAUGUGCGCUCAGUUGGCGCCAUUAACUCGCGUUCUUGGCGCCAAUGUGUGAAAUCCGCUCUAGGAAGCGCAAAGCCAGGUCUCUCAGCCCCCCAAAUGAUUAAUGAGUUUCAAAACUUAACCACGCGUGGGUCAAGUGUAUAUAUACACUUGAAAUGUUUAUAUAUAAACGUGUAUAUAUACUCGGUGUAUAUACAUUGAAAUUCAGAAUAUAUAUAAAAUAUUUUCUCAUUUCUGGACUAUUUCUACAUAUAAUUGCUUUUAUUGGGGGGUGCUCCAAAUCCUUGGAUCAAGAGUUCAUCAAAAUGUCCUGGCCACAGCCAAAUACAAAGUUGGCGGGAAGCAGCAGCCAAUUAGUCUCGAGUUAACCUAUGACGUCACGGGUUCGAGCGCCAAGACCCAGCAGCCAGUCAGUAAUCGUGACGUCACUUGGCCAAACAUACGUCACUGUCGAUCAGCCAAUCACUUCAGCGGCUCCUACGUGACUGGUGGUGGUGCGGGAGCCCGCGAAAACUGGCGUCUCAGUCAUGCACUGGAGAAAGUGGUAGGGGGGGGGUGUGCACUCUGUUGAAAAAACCAUACCCCUGGCAGGGAUUGAACCCGCGGUCAUAGUUGAAGCAGACGAGUUCACCAGUAGCUGUUAGCCUUUAUGGUAAGUGGUAACGUUUGUCACUUUCACUUGUAAGUGAUCAGUUAUUACUUAUCCCUUUACCAUUUGUCUACAACUUAUGCUAUUUUACCACUUUUAUGACCUUGCCAUUUGUCACUUUC